CAUGAUUGAACCCAAUUGUCAUAAUGGCUUACAAAAUAAUUAGCAAAUUCACAUGUUUUUUCAUCAACUGACAUUUGACUAAUUGCACUUUCAAAUAUUUGUUCAAAUACUUUAGCAUCUUGUUCAUGUAACAAAGUCCUUAUAAUUGCUAACAGAUAUAAAUCAAGUACCUCUAAGUAUCCUACAUUCCAAACUUCCCACUCAUAACAGUCACACAUCUGUCUUCAGUAUCAAAUGCCCGGCUUCUAAAUAUUUAAUUUAAAAAUAUUUUUGUUGGGUCAAAGUGUGGUUGCGAAAACGAAUGAAUAUAGGUACUUCAUUACAGAAAUAAAAACUUACGCUAACUAUAAUUUUGGAUAUGAAAUGGGCUGUGUUAAGUUAUUGGGACCUCUAGACAUUUAUUUUGACCGACUACGUUUUUAAGACGGGGGCCACUAUAAGUACCUACUAUAACAAGGUUAAUAAAAGUAAUUAUUUCUUAUUCCUACGUACUGUGUAAUAUAAUUUCUCU